UACGUAGGGUGCAAGCGUUAAUCGGAAUUACUGGGCGUAAAGCGUGCGCAGGCGGUUUUGUUUAAGUCUGUCGUGAAAAGCCCCGGGCUCAACCUGGGAAUUGCGGUGGAGACUGGCAAAGGCUUGAAUCUGGCAGAGGGGGGGUAGAAAUUCCACGUGUAGCAGUGAAAUGCGUUAGAGGAUGUGGGAGGAAACACCGAUGGCGAAAGGCAGCCCCCCUGGGUCAAGAUUGACGCUCGAUGCACGAAAAGCGUGGGGGAGCAAACAGG
rnacentral:rRNA from 1 species